rnacentral:tRNA from 1 species
AGCGGCGUGGCUCAGUGGAAAGAGCCCGGGCUUGGGAGUCGGGGGUCAUGGGUUCGAAUCCCAGCUCUGCUA